UUGAACGCUGGCGGCAGGCCUAACACAUGCAAGUCGAGCGGAUGAAGGGAGCUUGCUCCCUGAUUCAGCGGCGGACGGGUGAGUAAUGCCUAGGAAUCUGCCUGGUAGUGGGGGACAACGUUCCGAAAGGAGCGCUAAUACCGCAUACGUCCUACGGGAAGAAAGUGGGGGAUCUUCGGACCUCACGCUAUCAGAUGAGCCUAGGUCGGAUUAGCUAGUAGGUGGGGUAAUGGCUCACCUAGGCGACGAUCCGUAACUGGUCUGAGAGGAUGAUCAGUCACACUGGAACUGAGACACGGUCCAGACUCCUACGGGAAGGCAAGCAGUGGGGAAUAUUUGGACAAUGGGCGAAAGCCUGAUCCAAUCCAUGCCCCGUGUUGUUAAGAAGGUCUUCGGAUUGUAAAGCACUUUAAGUUGGGAAGAAGGGCAUAAGUUAAUACCUUGCUGUUUUUACCUUC
rnacentral:rRNA from 1 species